GACGAACGCUGGCGGCGUGCUUAACACAUGCAAGUCGAACGGAAAGGCCCUGCUUUUGUGGGGUGCUCGAGUGGCGAACGGGUGAGUAACACGUGAGUAACCUGCCCUUGACUUUGGGAUAACUUCAGGAAAAUGGGGCUAAUACCGGAUAGGAGCUCCUGCUGCAUGGUGGGGGUUGGAAAGUUUCGGCGGUUGGGGAUGGACUCGCGGCUUAUCAGCUUGUUGGUGGGGUAGUGGCUUACCAAGGCUUUGACGGGUAGCCGGCCUGAGAGGGUGACCGGCCACAUUGGGACUGAGAGACGGCCCAGACUCCUACGGGAGGCAGCAGUGGGGAAUAUUGCACAAUGGGCGGAAGCCUGAUGCAGCAACGCCGCGUGCGGGAUGACGGCCUUCGGGUUGUAAACCGCUUUCGCCUGUGACGAAGCGUGAGUGACGGUAAUGGGUAAAGAAGCACCGGCUAACUACGUG
rnacentral:rRNA from 1 species